rnacentral:rRNA from 1 species
UACGUAGGGUGCGAGCGUUGUCCGGAAUUAUUGGGGCGUAAAGAGCUUGUAGGCGGUUUGUCGCGUCUGCCGUGAAAAUCCGGGGCUCAACCCCGGACUUGCGGUGGGUACGGGCAGACUAGAGUGUGGUAGGGGAGACUGGAAUUCCUGGUGUAGCGGUGAAAUGCGCAGAUAUCAGGAGGAACACCGAUGGCGAAGGCAGGUCUCUGGGCCACUACUGACGCUGAGAAGCGAAAGCGUGGGGAGCGAACAGG